rnacentral:rRNA from 1 species
UAGGGAAUCUUCGGCAAUGGACGAAAGUCUGACCGAGCAACGCCGCGUGAAUGAAGAAGGUUUUCGGAUCGUAAAACUCUGUUGUUAGAGAAGAACAAGGACGUUAGUAACUGAACGUCCCCUGACGGUAUCUAACCAGAAAGCCACGGCUAACUACGUGCCAGCAGCCGCGGUAAUACGUAGGUGGCAAGCGUUGUCCGGAUUUAUUGGGCGUAAAGCGAGCGCAGGCGGUUUCUUAAGUCUGAUGUGAAAGCCCCCGGCUCAACCGGGGAGGGUCAUUGGAAACUGGGGGACUUGAGUGCAGAAGAGGAGAGUGGAAUUCCAUGUGUAGCGGUGAAAUGCGUAGAUAUAUGGAGGAACACCAGUGGCGAAGGCGGCUCUCUGGUCUGUAACUGACGCUGAGGCUCGAAAGCGUGGGGAGCAAACAGG